AAGGUCCGUGUUCGAAAGGGAAACAGCCCAGACCACCAGCUAAGGUCCCAAAAUAUAUGUUAAGUGGAAAAGGAUGUGGCGUUGCCCAGACAACUAGGAUGUUGGCUUAGAAGCAGCCAUCAUUUAAAGAGUGCGUAAUAGCUCACUAGUCGAGUGACACUGCGCCGAAAAUGUACCGGGGCUAAACAUAUUACCGAAGCUGUGGAUUGUCCUUUGGACAAUGGUAGGAGAGCGUUCUAAGGGCGUUGAAGCAUGAUCGUAAGGACAUGUGGAGCGCUUAGAAGUGAGAAUGCCGGUGUGAGUAGCGAAAGACGGGUGAGAAUCCCGUCCACCGAUUGACUAAGGUUUCCAGAGGAAGGCUCGUCCGCUCUGGGUUAGUCGGGUCCUAAGCUGAGGCCGACAGGCGUAGGCGAUGGAUAACAGGUUGAUAUUCCUGUACCACCUAUAAUCGUUUUAAUCGAUGGGGGGACGCAGUAGGAUAGGCGAAGCGUGCGAUUGGAUUGCACGUCUAAGCAGUAAGGCUGAGUAUUAGGCAAAUCCGGUACUCGUUAAGGCUGAGCUGUGAUGGGGAGAAGACAUUGAGUCUUCGAGUCGUUGAUUUCACACUGCCGAGAAAAGCCUCUAGAUAGAAAAUAGGUGCCCGUACCGCAAACCGACACAGGUAGUCAAGAUGAGAAUUCUAAGGUGAGCGAGCGAACUCUCGUUAAGGAACUCGGCAAAAUGACCCCGUAACUUCGGGAGAAGGGGUGCUCUUUAGGGUUAACGCCCAGAAGAGCCGCAGUGAAUAGGCCCAAGCGACUGUUUAUCAAAAACACAGGUCUCUGCUAAACCGUAAGGUGAUGUAUAGGGGCUGACGCCUGCCCGGUGCUGGAAGGUUAAGAGGAGUGGUUAGCUUCUGCGAAGCUACGAAUCGAAGCCCCAGUAAACGGCGGCCGUAACUAUAACGGUCCUAAGGUAGCGAAAUUCCUUGUCGGGUAAGUUCCGACCCGCACGAAAGGCGUAACGAUUUGGGCACUGUCUCAACGAGAGACUCGGUGAAAUCAUAGUACCUGUGAAGAUGCAGGUUACCCGCGACAGGACGGAAAGACCCCGUGGAGCUUUACUGUAGCCUGAUAUUGAAAUUCGGCACAGCUUGUACAGGAUAGGUAGGAGCCUUUGAAACGUGAGCGCUAGCUUACGUGGAGGCGCUGGUGGGAUACUACCCUAGCUGUGUUGGCUUUCUAACCCGCACCACUUAUCGUGGUGGGAGACAGUGUCA
rnacentral:rRNA from 1 species